rnacentral:rRNA from 1 species
UUGACCUCGGAUCAGGUAGGAAUACCCGCUGAACUUAAGCAUAUCAAUAAGCGGAGGAAAAGAAACCAACAGGGAUUGCCCCAGUAACGGCGAGUGAAGCGGCAACAGCUCAAAUUUGAAAUCUGGCCCCAGGCCCGAGUUGUAAUUUGCAGAGGAUGCUUUUGGCGCGGUGCCUUCCGAGUUCCCUGGAACGGGACGCCAUAGAGGGUGAGAGCCCCGUACGGUUGGACACCAAGCCUUUGUAAAGCUCCAUCGACGAGUCGAGUAGUUUGGGAAUGCUGCUC